rnacentral:misc_RNA from 1 species
GCAAUGGGGUUCUCAUAACGACUAAUUCGCUUUGCUAGUAGCUGAAGUUGUUGAACACGGUUCAGUAGAUCAUUAGCCUUCACAGGGACACCAAAAAAGUCCAACAAAGGACCCUUUGGAUCCACAUUUUCUCCAUCAACUGCUUCUUUGCAACCAUCUAUAAGAGCAUCAAAAAGCUCAAUCUGUGCAUGAGGUGGAGCUGCUGCCACUGAGCCACCAACG